AAUAAAGCCACCAGUGGACUGCAUAAGAAACACGCUGGAGUCAACAGUAAUCAAUUGAAAACUUGAUUAAGGUUAGCUAGAGUUUUAAUGAUGCAUCAUUUUUAUCAACAGAGAAGAUGCAUGUCUGUAUCUGUGUUCUGACAAUAUUAUUAUUCAGUAAUAAUAUACAACAUUUUCCGAGAUACCAAAGUUUCAGCAAAGAAUAUAAAGAUGGAACAGACCUCCACAAGAGCAACAAAUGUAGCCAUCAUCAUGGCAAAAGCUUCACCCG
rnacentral:lncRNA from 1 species